GAACCGACAAGAUAAGAUAGGGGCUGGUAUUUUCUAAACUAUCCUGCCUGACGGCAUAUACAGAUAAUAUGAGGAUUCAUUUGCAAGAGCGCACGGAAGAUUGAUUGGUUUUCUUAAUGCUGGAGCAAUUGCUCAUUACCAAAAUAACUCCUGGCAUUUGUGGGGAACGGUGUGAGGGCAUGGCAGGAUGUCCGCCCACAGACGGUGCCCUGGAUGCUGUCUUUUUGGGUGAAAAAGGGCAAUUUUGGUGCCGCGUUGCUACAAAUUGUGGGCUUGAUCCGCAGUUCAUGGUACCGAUGGGUGGCUCUUUCUGCAGAGCAACACGGGAGAACCACACCAUCGUCACCGCUAAGGACAGAAAUAUCACAACGUUGACUCCCAGUAUCAAAUAUUAACCCAACGCCAGUGCAAGGCGUUGUGUCAGAAGACGCUUGAUCCGCAAAGCUGGCUUCGUGCAACAUGUUGCAGCUGGCGGGGUGUAUUUAUAGCUUUUAAAAAAAAAAAAAAAAAAAAAGCACAACAAAACACUGGAAAGAGUAGAAAGCAUUUUAAACAGCAAAUUUGUCAAUGUUUUUCCUCACUGCCGAGUCGGAUGGUGGGUCGGCGCUGGUUUAGAUUAGCUGUGUCCCAUGCAGUCGGACGGUAGCAACGUGAACCUGCAGCGCACGGAUCCGCGGAUAGCAGAGAGAGGAGGAGGAAUGCGGGGAAUGUUUUCCCUUGCAGCGCUGCGGUGGUGCGGCGGUGACAGCGCUAACACUUCCCAGAGCCGAAGACCCCGAAGCCGAAAUGGCAUUGCCCACCCUGAAAGCGAGAAGGAAACGGGUCUCAGAUGUUUAUAUGUUAAAAAAUAAGGCUGCUAAUCUGCCUGCCCCUUUACCCGGCAUCGACAACUGUCACGUCUUUUCUCCUGGCUUUGGGGCCAAGUUAUGUAUUCGCUUAUUUUUUUUUUAAACCAGCGGAAUAACCGCCAUCCUGCAAUCACUGGAUUUGCUUGCUAACACCAUGUAAAGUCACCUCGGCAAUGUAAGCCAAUGUUUACCAUAGAAUUGUGAGAUUUUGUGCUUAUGGAGAUGGACUCCAGCGGGGAAGGUGGGAGAAAAGGUCUUAGGGAGCCGCAGCUCAGCGCUUGGUGUUUGUGUCCAUCAAACGCAAAGAAUGCUGAACUGGGGACCUUUCAAACACUGAUGUUUGUGAUCUCGGAGCAAAGAAGGGGAGAUUAAUCUGCAUUGGUAGAUUUUCACGCUGUUGCCCAACGCACAAUUUCAGCACACAUAAGGCAGAGAUUCGUUCCCUUCCAUUAAUCAAUACUUUUGCUGAUCCUUGAGGUGCCUUCCAACCCAAGCCAUUCUGUGAUUCUGUUAUUUUUAUUUCCUUCUUUUCAGCCUCAUGCGGCAUAGAGGCUGAUAAUAUGACAUUAAAAUGGGAUAAAGCCGGAGGUCUUUGGACCGCACCUGAGCUGUGGGGUGACACACACUAUGCACUUCUUGCUUCAUUUUUCCCAACAGCUUCUUCACAUGGUUCACAUUUCUGACCCAGUGUCAACCACAGCCCCCAGCCCACACCUGGCUAACAGCGUGAUGAAAAUCAAAUUAAAUCAGCAAAGAGCUUCAGUAACAAAAGCAGUGGGAGCAGCAGGUAAUGCUUCGAAGUUGCCUUUCUUUGCAGGUAGAGGUCCCAUGUAUCCUCAUGCAUAUUUAUCUGGGAAAGAUACUGGAGGAUUGGGCUCCUUGUGUAAUAAAAUCUGUAUUUUUUAAAUAACAUUGCUGAAAUGUGGUCAUGAAAUACUAAUGAUGUUUUGCCACGGUGUGGGAAAAAAGGCAAAUAGCAAAAUGCAGUGUUUACUGACCACACUGAAAGAGAAAUUCUCGGUGCUCAAGGACAGCAUCGGAGCAUUCUCACAGUGCAAACAGAGUAUUUUUCCUUCUGAAUAAUAAAAAAAAUAACUUCUGAAGUUA